UUCCGUUCUCUCCAAAUUCACGCCCAUUCUUCUUCAGUUAGUGAUCAAAGUUUGGUUGCAAAUAUCUGCUUGAAAAGGUGAUUAAAGGGAUUGUUUGCAGCAAUUCAAGAUAUUUUACCUGUUGUUGAACAUAAAAAGUGUGUUAGGCACAUCUUAGCUAACUGGACUAAGGAUUGGAGAGGUCUUUAAAGAAAACAACAGGUUUAGUUGAUUGCCAAGAGUACAUUUGAAGCUCAAUUGAGGAAAAAUGUGGGGAAGAUGAAGUUGCUUGGUCUAGAAAGAAUGAUAGAUGAUUUAAUGUACUACAACGUAGAGUACUAGUGUAAAGUUUACUUUAAUACUAAAGUGAAAUGUGACUCUAUAGACAACAACAUGUCCGAGUUCUUUAAUGCAUGGAUCUUACCAGCAAGGCACAAGACAAUUAUCAUUAUGCUUGAAGAGAUAAGAGUGAAGAUUAUGACAAAAAUAUCUAAGUUAAGAGAGUUCACAAAUAUUUGAAAGUGCAAUUUCUCUCCAAUGGCUUUGAAGGUACUAGAAGAGAAUCUUGAUAGGUCAAUGAAUUGUAAUAUUGAAUUCAAUGAAGUUGAUGGGUUUGAAGUGAGAGAAGGACUAUGUCAACACAGUGUGGAUCUUGUAGUUGAAGGGCAUGGCAAUUAAAGGGCAUACCAUGUACAUAUGUUGUGGCUAUAAUUUACUUUAAGAAAUAUGAUCUUCUUGACUACAUUGACAAUUGCUACAGUAAGGAGACUUAGUUGAAGACUUAUGCCAAUGUUUUUCAACCAGUCACAAAUAUAAAAAUAUGGCAUGUAUCUACUUAUUCCACAGUUGCACCACCAGAAAUCAAAAUCAUGCCUAGCAGGCCAAGUAAAGUAAGAAGGAAAGAAGCUAGUGAAAAUAAAAAAAUUAAAAAGUUAAAUAAAACUGGACUUGCCAUGACAUGAAGCAAAUGUAAUAUUAGAGGCCAAAAUAAGAGAGGAUGUCCACAAAGUGUUGAGCUAUCAACAAGGGAAGAACCGUCAAAUUCAGGCAGAAAAAAGGGCAACACUUCAGGUUCAGUCAAGGGAAGAGGCAGACCAAAGAUAAUAUUUUAACUUUGAAUUGAUAUGUGAUAACCAUAAAUAAUUAUUUUUAACUUUUUGUUUACAUCUAUAGAAAGCACAAACUGAAGGUGAGCCUUCUGUAAAUAGGGCAAGAGGAAGACCAAAAAGAAAUACUUACUCUACCUGCAGCACCUAGUGCACCUCAUACAUAUCCAACACUUGUUGAUUAUCCUGCAUACUCUUCAACACCUCCUGACUAUCAUGCAUCUUCAAGACCUACUAAUAUCCAAAGAGGAAGGGGCAGGGGUAAGAAAAGGCCAACAAUUAUUGAAAUGGGUGUGUUUUAAGCUGAAAGUGGAUUCAAAGUCCUUAAUCCUGAUAUGUCAAGUUGUAUCUUCUCUACUGGUACAACAAAGGAGACAAGAUCAGCUGAAGUUACUGGUGAUAUUGGUUUCAAACCAAGUACUACAAGUAAGCUGAAAUGGAAUGGAAGAGCAUCUAUCUCAACAAGAAAACUUGAAGAAAUGAGAAUGAAACAAAGAAACAAAUCAAGAGGAAGCGGUUCAAACAACCCAAUCCAAAAUAACACUUCUUGACAAUUUAGGAAGCACCGAUGUUGCAGCACUGUUUUAAGUUACU